GAUGAACGCUGGCGGCGUGCCUAAUACAUGCAAGUAGAACGCUGAAGCUUGGUGCUUGCACCGAGCGGAUGAGUUGCGAACGGGUGAGUAACGCGUAGGUAACCUGCCUGGUAGCGGGGGAUAACUAUUGGAAACGAUAGCUAAUACCGCAUAACAGUAGAUAUUGCAUGAUAUCUGCUUGAAAGGUGCAAAUGCAUCACUACCAGAUGGACCUGCGUUGUAUUAGCUAGUUGGUGAGGUAACGGCUCACCAAGGCGACGAUACAUAGCCGACCUGAGAGGGUGAUCGGCCACACUGGGACUGGGACACGGCCCAGACUCCUACGGGAGGCAGCAGUAGGGAAUCUUCGGCAAUGGGGGGAACCCUGACCGAGCAACGCCGCGUGAGUGAAGAAGGUUUUCGGAUCGUAAAGCUCUGUUGUAAGAGAAGAACGAGUGUGAGAGUGGAAAGUUCACACUGUGACGGUAUCUUACCAGAAAGGGACGGCUAACUACGUG
rnacentral:rRNA from 1 species